CUCAUAUUCCUGCUCUUCAGUGUCGGACAUCCUGGAGUAACCUAGGGACCACAGAGAAGAGACAGGGUCGGACUAGCUCUCAUCUGCUUCCAGAUCUCUGUUAGAUUCCAUCAGAGCUACCCUAGAGACUCAGCUGGGUCAGGUACCCCACAAACUCCCUCAAGGUACCAAGACUGGAGUCCCCAAGACUGGUGCAAGACGAGGUCUCAGCCCUCAAACUUUUUCUUGCGGCCCUCCAUUCCACUCAGUGCAUCGAUGUUCUUGCGCCAGUCCCCCACCUCCCGGUUUUCCUGAAGGCAUGAGGUCAGAGUUCAGGCUCCAGGUUGAAGCUUCUAAUCUUGCAACUUCAUGAUCUUCCUGAUACACCCCAGCCACAGGUCUCGGAUCUUCUGACAGUGAGGCCCAGCCAUGCCCAGAUCAUAACUCCUCAGCCUGCACCUGAAUUCAGUGCUCCAGCCACAUGUUCCCACAGACACUUAUGAGUCCCAGGCCCUGACUGGCAUGUGCUGUCUCUAGGCUAGAGCCGCCUUCCCUAGACAGAGUGUACUCAUCCUGCUCCCUGCACUCUGCUCAGAGUUAUCCUGCAUCUCAAGCAAAAGCAGCCACAGCCGUCAGCCUCAGGCCCCAGUUCUGAGGAUCUUGACCCACUCUGAAGGUGCCCAGGCUGCCCGGGGU